rnacentral:rRNA from 1 species
UCGAGGAUCUUCGGCAAUGGGCGCAAGCCUGACCGAGCGACGCCGCGUGAGCGAUGAAGGCCAUUAGGUUGUAAAGCUCUGUCGAGGGGGAGCAAGCCGCAAGGUUGAGCGAUCCCUGGAGGAAGCACGGGCUAAGUUCGUGCCAGCAGCCGCGGUAAGACGAACCGUGCGAACGUUGUUCGGAAUCAUUGGGCUUAAAGGGCGCGUAGGCGGGUGUUCAAGUCCGGGGUGAAAUCCUCCAGCUCAACUGGAGAAGAGCCCCGGAUACUGUUCACCUGGAGAGAGGUAGGGGCACAUGGAACUUCCGGUGGAGCGGUGAAAUGCGUAGAGAUCGGAAGGAACGCCGGUGGCGAAAGCGAUGUGCUGGAUCUUUUCUGACGCUGAGGCGCGAAAGCUAGGG